UACGAAGGGUGCAAGCGUUACUCGGAAUUACUGGGCGUAAAGCGUGCGUAGGUGGUUCGUUAAGUCUGAUGUGAAAGCCCUGGGCUCAACCUGGGAAUGGCAUUGGAUACUGGCGGGCUGGAGUGCGGUAGAGGGUAGUGGAAUUCCCGGUGUAGCAGUGAAAUGCGUAGAGAUCGGGAGGAACAUCUGUGGCGAAGGCGACUGCCUGGACCAGCACUGACACUGAGGCACGAAAGCGUGGGGAGCAAAC
rnacentral:rRNA from 1 species